rnacentral:rRNA from 1 species
CCCCUACGGGAGGCAGCAGUGAGGAAUAUUGGUCAAUGGGCGGAAGCCUGAACCAGCCAAGUCGCGUGAGGGAAGAAGGCCCUGCGGGUCGCAGACCUCUUUGGACGGGGAGCAAGGCCGCCGACGAGUCGGCGGAAGGAGAGUACCCGUAGAACAAGCAUCGGCUAACUCCGUGCCAGCAGCCGCGGUAAUACGGAGGAUGCGAGCGUUAUCCGGAUUUAUUGGGUUUAAAGGGUGCGCAGGCGGCAGGGCAAGACGGCGGUCAAAACGCGGGGCGCAACCCCGGCCA